rnacentral:rRNA from 1 species
UGCCAGCCGCCGCGGUAAUACGGAGGGUGCAAGCGUUAUCCGGAAUUAUUGGGUUUAAAGGGUUCGUAGGCGGGCUGAUCAGUCAGAGGUGAAAUCCAACAGCUUAACUGUUGAACUGCCUUUGAUACUGUCAGUCUUGAGUCAUAUUGAAGUGGAUAGAAUAUGUAGUGUAGCGGUGAAAUGCAUAGAUAUUACAUAGAAUACCGAUUGCGAAGGCAGUCCACUAAGUAUGUACUGACGCUGAUGAACGAAAGCGUGGGGAGCGAACGGGAUUAGAUA